rnacentral:misc_RNA from 1 species
GAGAUUUGAUGGUUUUGAAUUGAUUGGCGAAAAGUGACUUUCGAGGAAGCAGCGAACGGGCGAAGGAAGAAGAGAAUCUGGGCAACGUGUAGUGGUAGGUGCAAUGGUAUCAUGUGAUCCUAUGAUCAUCGGCCACGUGGUAUUUAUGACCAUAUAAUUUAUAUAUAUAUAUAUUUUAAAUUAUUGGACCAGUGCAACGUGCACUGCAGCGAUUCCUGACCUCGACGCUCCAGUCUUUGUUUUCUAGCUUCAAAAAACGACAUUUUCUUUGAAUGUGUCGUUGUCGUUUACAUAUCAUUGCUGCUGAAUCAUCAGUUUUCGAAAUUAAAAUACAAAACUACUUGUCGGUUUCCAU